GAGGAAAAUAACUCAGGAGAACAGGGAUAGAUUUCGAACUCGGCUAAAUGCAGCAAAAACUACUGUCAGCACAGCCAAAAGUGGAGAAGAGGAUAGUGGAUAGGUCUUUUUCAGUUACGUUAGUAGACAGAGGACAAUUCCUGGGCAUUGAUGUUUCCAUACAAGGCUGUGAUGCAACCAGUUAGGACAUUCGCCACUGUGCAUCUAUAAAAGUUUUUGGUUACAUGCCGAAUCUUUGCAAACUUCUAAGAAAGUAGAGAUGCUAUUAUGCCGCCUUUGAAGCAACAGAAGAUAACAAAAAAGGCAAUACGCCAAGAAAAAAUGAGAUCAACCAUGGUGAUAUUCUAACUGGCUGCUUGGGGCUGCAGCACAGUAUGGAAAGAAGCUGCAGAAAAUUAUGAACAGUCAGCUCCAUUAUGGGCAAUUGCAGUUUCCGGGAUAUCUUCAAGGAGCAAUGAUGCCUCGAAGAGGCAGCAUUCGUCCAUCAUUAAGGACAUGUUCUCUUCUCAUUGCUUCCAUCAGGAAGGAGAUACAAGAGCCUGAAGGCACAUAGUGAAUCAGGAACAGCUGCUUCCCUUCUACCAUCCAAUUUCUGAAUGGACUUUAAAUUCCUGGGUCUCACUAUCUCAAUGGACUUGUCCUGGACCCAUCAUAUUAAAAAUUAUUGCAAAGAAAGUACAACAGCGCCUCUACUUCCUCAAGAGUCUGCGGAGGUUCAGCAUGUCAUUGAAAGCCUUGUCAGAAUUCUAUAGAUGUGUGUUGGAAAGUGUGCUGACUGGUUGUGUUAUGCAUGGAGCAGGAACCCCAAUGCCUUUGAGGAGAAAAUCCUACAAAAGGUAGUCAAUUUGGCCCAGUACAUCUCAGGUAAAACUCUCCCAACCAUUGAGCACAUCUACGUGAAGCACAGGAAAGCAACAUCCAUCAUCAAAUAUUCUCACCACCCAGGCCAUGCUCUUUUCUCACUGCUGCCAUCAGGUAGAAGAUACAAGUGCCUCAGGACUCUCACCACCAGGUUCAGGAACAGUUACUACCCCUCAACCAUCAGGCUCUUGAACAAAAGAGGAUAACUACACUUAUUUAAGGACUCUGUUACAUUGUUAUUUCAUGCUCAAUAUUUGUUACUAUUUAUAUCUGUAUUUGCACUGUUUACAGUUAAUGUUCUAUAGACUUUGCUAAGUAUGCCUGCAGAAAAGAAAUUAAUUUAAUUGAAUGUAUUUAAUUUAACUACUUAACAAAUGUGAAUUACAGUAAGUAUAUAUAUUAAGUGUUGCAUUGUGCUGUUGGUGUAAAGACAGCAAAUGUCUCAACGUACCCCAGUGAUGUUAAACCUGAUUCUGAUUCCUUCUGUAUGACAUUUUUAGUUACCUUCUGUUGGUUUUUCAAAGCUUUCCACACACUUUUGCUCUAUUAUAUGCCCUCUCUCAGGCUUCUUUGUUGGCUUUGAACUCUUGUCAGCCAUGUUAUCAUGCGUUUAGAAUACUACUUUUUCUUUGGGAUGUAUCUUUCCUACGCCUUCCAAAUUGCUCCAGAAACUCCAGCCAUUAUUGCUGUCCGUCCCUGAUGGUGUUCCCUUCCAGUCAGUUUUGGCCAGCUCCCCUUGCGUGCCUCUGUAAUUCCUUGUACUCUGCUGUAAUACUGAAAUAUCUGACUUUAGCUUCUCCUCAAAUUUCAGGGUGAAUCUGUACUCCUUGGAUUUAUAUUUUAAAAAUAAAAUGAGCAGUGAUCUCAUGAAAUAUGCAACAUUUGAAAAUGAAACAGAAAAGUACAGAACAAGACAGCACAAGUACAGGUCCUUCAAACCACAAAGUUGUGCCACCUACUGCAAAGUCAAUCUAAUCCCUCCAUCUCACAUGGCCCUCCAUUUUUCCUUCAUUCAUGUGCCUAUCUAAGAGUUUCUUAAAUGUUUUGAAUGUACCACCACCCUGGCAGGGUGUUCAAUGCACCCACCACUCUCUGUAGGAAAACCCAGUGCUGACAUCUCCCCCUAUGCUUUUCUCCAGUCACCUGAAAAUUACGCCCCCUUGUAUUUGCCAUUAACACAACACCUUGGAGAAAAAAAUCCUCUGGCUAUCCACUUGAUAUAUAUAAAUUAUUAUCUCGUAUAGCUCUUUCAGCUCUCCUCUGAUUUUCUCUCACUAGCUCACUCAACUUUUCCUCAUUAGAAAUACUGUCUAAAUCCUCCUAAGUCUCCUCUUCACCCUCCAUAAAACUUCCUCAUUCUUAGUGUAACUGACCAGAAUUUUAUAGAGUUGCAACAUUACCUCGUGGCUCUUGAAUUCAAUCCCUGACUAAUUAUAAGCCAACAUACCACAUGUGACAAAACUCUUGAGACUUGAGAAGGAAGUGUGGAGAUACCCCCCCCCCCCCCAACUAAGGUGCCUUUUCAUCUAGGUAGUAGUAACUGAAGUGUAGAAAAUCAGUACAGAUAAGAAAGCAGAUAAUACUGAAGACAGACAGAGUAUUAAAUGAUCUUUGAAUAUUCAGCAGUCAAGGAACAGAAGAGCUCGGAUAAGCUAUUCUGCUCUGAAACCUGUUCUGCUGGACACCAUGUGUCCAAACAAAUCAUUGUAAGUUGGUGUAGCACUGGAGGGUGACACAGGAGAAGGUUGGUUCUCCCAUUUGCCUGCACUAAUGUUAUCUGAUAUUUGUUUCCCUUAUCAUUUCAAAGCCUAAUUACAAAUGCCUCGGUGUGAGAAGUUCAUAUUUUCUUGUUUGCAUUGAGGAGAUUAAUGUUCAGGAAAAUCCAUUGGGUUUGACAUACCAGCAAAAUAAUUAUAUGUUAGUAUAAAGGAAAUAUUCGUUUGGAAUACUUGUCCAGUACAACGACAAUGAACCAACCCAUGAGCAAUACCUUGUUUUUUUUUCCCCUCUAUUUACACUACUUCAAUAUAUUUCUUAUUGUAAUAUAUAAUUUUGCUUUAUUGUUACUGUAUUGCAAUGUACUGUUGCCGCAAAGCAACAAAUUUCACGACAUACAGUACUGCGCAAAAGUCUCAGUCACAUAUAAAAAUACCUAUAUACCUAUGGUGACUAGGACUUGCACAGUAUCUGUCAAUGUGGAGCUGCGAGUGACUUUCCCAGCAUAGGAUGUUGGGAGUAGUGAGGGUCGAGUGCUGGACAGGUGGCAGAGAAGGAGUGCCAGGGACGCACCCAACCCUGAGACACCAGGCAAGAUCAUUUGUCUCUCUGCUGCUUCCCACUUCCUCUCCUUUCCCCACCCAUGAUUCCAGUUUCUGUCCCCCUUCCCCACUCACUGUCCACAAUAGAGACCCAUAUCAGAAUAGGUUUAUCAUUACAUAUGUCAUGAAAUGUGUUUUAUUACAGCAGCAGCAGUACAGUGCGAUAUGCGAUAUGUACUGUGCCAAAGUUUAAGGCACCCUCGCUAUAUAUAUGUGCCAAAGACAUUUUGCACAGUACUGUAUGCCAAUGAUAUUAAACCUGAAUUUGAUUCUGAUUUGGGUAUGUUUAGGUAUGGCUUAUUCAGUAAACAAUUCCUUACUAUUAGCAAUUGUGACUGUUUCCAGUUUAAUUGAAGAAUAUACCAUUACUCAGCCACACCAAUUCAGUUCAGUUUCAGUUUAUUGUCAUUUAGAAACCACAAAUGCAAUGCAGUUAAAAAAUGAGACAACGUUCUCCAGAAUGAAAUCACAAAAGCACACGACAAAACAGACUACACCAGAAAAUCCACAUAAUGUUUGGUAAUCCCCAAUUCCAGAGGCUGGAGAGGCUGCUGCGUAUUACUAUCGCGCUACCAGCUUAGCGCGUUCCCCGGAAAGGAGCCCCAAAUCCACCAGACAAAACAAGAAAACAAGACUACCCAGAUACACCAAGUCAAAAGACCAACUCUACCACCCAACAAACCAAAAACUAAAGCUACAAGACCUACACAAAACCACAUAGUUACAUAUUUUUUAUAGUUAACAUAUAGUUACAACAGUGCAGAUAAUACCAUAAUUGAUUAAAAAGCAGACCAUGGGCACAGUAAAAAUAGUCCAAAGAUGUUAAAAGACUAUAAGUUCAAAAGAAACCAUCACACAGUUUCCACAAGUCCUCAGGAUCCCAAUAGACUCGUCAUCCCACGCAGGAGGCAGAAGGGAGUACCCCAGCUAUGGACUUCCACAGCGCCAGACUCAGCCUUGCAGACGCAGCACACAAUGAAAGCUCAGUCGGAGCCAGCCUCACAGAUACAGCACACAGUGAAAGCGCCCCAACCACAGCAGACUCAGAGUCCACUGAACCUCCAAGCCUCCGACCAUCCCCUCAGGCACAGCCUCUCCGAGCACCAUCCUCUGCCGAGCGCACUACGACACUCUCGCCAACAGCCACCGGCAACACGACCCCGAGGACUGGGGGCGUGUUCUCAGCAGAGACCCGGACCUCACAACAGCAGCAGCAAUGAAGAAGUCCUUCCUGGAGAUUUCCAAAUGUUCCUCCAUGCUCCCACGUCUGUUUUUCAUCAGAUUAGUAUUGUGCACGGCACCCCGCUUAACAAAUAACAGAUAUCAGCUCCAGACUGGCCGCUAUAAACUACAUC